AAUAAUAAAUAUUAAUGAAUAAUUAGAAAUAUUCUGAUUUUUCCUCAGAGGCUCGGGACGCCCAAAUCCGUGAGUACCCCCGGGAAUUUUGGGAAUUUUGGGGGAUUUUGGGAAUUUUUGGGGGUUUUGGGGGAUUUUGGGGGUUUUUGGGAUGAAAGAAGCAAAAAUAAAUUGAUUUUCCAUAUUUAUUUUUUAAUUUUUUAAGCAAUUAUUUCCGGUUAUUUAUUUUCCCAAUAUGAAAUUUAAUUUCCGUCGGAAUUUUUGCCGUUUUUGUGGAAUUAUUUCCAUUUUAGGUGUUUUUUUUUUAAUAAUGAUUUAUGGUAAUAAUUUUAUUUUUUUUAGGGGAAAAUGAAGCUGAGAUCGGUACGUCAGAUUUGGGUUUAUAUUUAUAUUUAUAUUUAUAUUUAUAUUUAUAUUUAUAUUUAUAUCAAUAUUUAUAUUUAUAUUUAUAUUUAUAUUUAUAUUUAUAUUUAUAUUUAAUGCUAUCAAUAAAUUUGGGUUUUUUACUUUGAAUUUUACUUUAAAUUUUAGUUUUAAUUUUAAUUCCAAUUUUACUUUUCAUUUUACAUUUUAAAUUAAUUUUUAAUUUUACUUUUGAUUUUAAUUUCAAUUUUAAUUUCAAUUUUACUUUUGCUUUUAAUUUUAAUUUUUGAUUUUAAUUUUAAUUUCAAUUUUACUUUUGCUUUUAAUUUUAAUUUUUAAUUUUAAUUUUAAUUUUAAUUUUAAUUUUAAUUUUAAUUUCUUUCUGCUUCCCCCAGGCUACCUGAAGGAGCUGCUGGGAGAAAGGGACUCUGUUAUCCGAAAAAUGAGGGAGGAGCUCGACGGACUCCCCGAGGAGGAAGAGGAAGAGGAAAUGGAGGAGGAAGAGGAAGAGGAAAAACAGGAAGAGGAAGAGGCGGAAGAGGAAGAGGAAGAGGCGGAACAGGAAGAGGAAGAGGCAGAAGAGGAAGAGGAAGAGGAAGAACAGGAAGAGGAAAUAAAUGAGGAGGAAGAGGAAGAAGAAAAAGAGGAAGUGGAGGAGGAAAUGGAGGAAGAGGAAGAGGAAGAGGAGGAAAAAGAGGAGGAAGAGGAGGAGGAAAAACAGGAAAAGGAAGUGGAGGAAGAGGAAGUGGGUCAGUCCAAAAAUAAAGGAAAAAUGAAAUUAUAAAAACAACAACAGUAAUAAUUAUAAUAAUAAAAUUGAAAAUUAAAAUCAAAUUUUAUAUAAUAAUAAUAAUAAUAAUAAUUAAAAACAUCAGUAACAAUCAUAAUAAUAAAAAUGAAAAUUAAAAUCAAAAUUUAAAAUAAAAUAAAAUAUAAUAA
rnacentral:lncRNA from 1 species